CAGCAGCCGCCGCGGGAAUACGAGGGGGGCAAGCGUUGUUCGGAAUCAUUGGGCGUAAAGGGUACGUAGGCAGCUUGACAAGUCUUGUGUGAAAUCUAUGGGCUCAACCCAUAGUCUGCACGGGAAACUGUCGGGCUUGAGAAUGGGAGAGGUGAGUGGAAUUACCGGUGUAGCGAUGAAAUGCGUAGAUAUCGGAAGGAACAUCUGUGGCGAAGGCGACUAUCUGGGCCAACACUGACACUGAGGCACGAAAGCGUGGGGAGCAAACAGGAUUAGAUACCCCCGUAGUCCCUGUCUCUUAUAC
rnacentral:rRNA from 1 species